UGGGCAUCUUUGACGAGUCGAUAAUAAAAUUGUUAUCCUUGCACUUUGAUGGCCAGUGAAGAAACUUAUGGGGAAUUUUUUCUCUGAGAUGCUC